AGAUUGAUGAGAAUUGUUUUUUUUUUAAUACAUUUUAGAAAAAGGCUGUAAUGUAACAAAAUGUGGAAAAAGUCAAGGGGUCUGAAUACUUUCCAAAUGCACUGUAUAUAUCUUUUAAAUCAAAAUGGAAAUGCAACGGGAUAGUAUGGGUACAGCUCACAAUAUUGUGAAUAAAUGGAAAUGUAUUUUCUGCUGUUUGUUGUCAAUAUUGAGUCCCAAGAACAAGGUCCCUGCUGAGUCAGAGGCCACUUUUCCAUUCUCUCUCUCUUCCUCAGACUAGAACAUAACAUAAUGUAUCAUGUCUUGUCACCAAAAUGUCUCGUUUUUAGUCACACACAGCAAUCCCGAAGGUCUUGUAACAGGAAAUAAUAAAAUAGAAUAGAAUAGAAAAGGAUAAAUCAUUUAAACACUCUUGUUCAGAAGUAAUGGGGGGUGCAUAACAAUACAUUAAGCACUGAAGACAAAUGAAAGAUUUUGAAUGACCAACAGGCCUAGCUAACUACUGUGGAAGCCAUAGGAUCAUUGUAAUACUUUUUAUUAUAUUAACCAGGCACGUAAGUGCCUCUCAGAUCUUUAGGAAAGGAGUGUGCAAGUUAAUUGACUCCCGUUUCCUAAACAAGAAGUUAUAGUCCCUUCCUGCACUGAACACCUCAUAUUUACUGGAACAAAGGAAAAGCCACAGGGAGGUGGUUUACCUUUCUGCCAGGAGAUGUUAUCAUCAGAACAACUAGACUUACAUGAAGUCAUUACACUUCAUGAAACAUCUAAUCAAGUCAUGAAAAUCAGUGCAUCCCACUCAGCCAUCAACAGCUAAAACACGUCAUUAUGACUCGAAAAUGCAAGACGACAAUUGAAGACAUCGUGCUGAAUAUGACCCUGGAAAUAUCUUUGAAAAGUAUAUUGUAUGGAAAUAUUUUAGGAUUUAAUGUUUGAUGUCUGCCUGUGCUUCCCCCCUUUUCUUUGCUAAUUGAGGAAAUUACUUACCUGCUUACUGGAAACACUGCCCAUGUAAAAACAGAGACAAUUAUAUCUUUGAUGGAAUUCCUUCUAUUGUUCUCUCCCUCAUCCCUAGAGUGGUCAUAGCCUCACUCUUCCACUCACUUUCGGGAAGAUGAGAUAUAAAAAAUAUACUGUAUUUUUCACUUCAUUGAGGGCACAGAAAUGUAAUCUACAUUCUGAAAAUAGCUUUUAUGUAUUGCAAUGCUUUGUAGUCAGUGCUUGACUUGGGUCUGAAAAAGGUGCCGGUACUCAUUUUGGGUGCUGUUACUGUUUAUAUUUAGGUGCAGGAGCUCCACAAUACUUCUGAGCUAGUAUUCUAUAAUAGGAACAGGAGCUCAGGCAGUAGAACAUUUGAGGUGCCGGCACUCUGCUCCUGCCCAAGUCAAGCACUGUAUGUAGUAAUGUGAAAACCAGAUGUGGGAACUCUGUUCAGGGGUUUUCUUUUACGCCUGCUAUGUUAGGUUAGUAGUAAUGCCAUUGGCGACCCAUCAUUCAGGGCAGGUGGGGCAGAACCCUUCCUGUUUUGAGCCCCACAUGUUUAGCUAAAAAAUAUACAGUACCAGUCAAAUGUUUGGGCACACCUACUCAUUUAAGGGUUUUUCUUUAUUUUGACAAUUUUCUACAUUGUAGAAUAAUAGUGAAAACAUCAAAACUAUGAAAUAACACAUAUGGAAUCAUGUAGUAACCAAAAAAAAGUUUUAAACAAAUCCAAGAAGCAGUUUGAGAAAUACAUCCGUCUAUGCUUCAUCAAGCAAGACAGCACUCUGGAUGCAGCGGAAGCUAUCCUCAAGAACUGGAACAAGUAAAAUAAGUCCUCUUGGAUGUAAGGGUUUGUCUCAAGACCCUCUCUUUUUACUGUGACACCCCUAUAACACCUUACUUUGUAGGACAGGUAUGGAACGGUUUGCCCUGUUUAUAUAUCCAAUUUGUAAGUCGCUCUGGAUAAGAGCGUCUGCUAAAUGACGUAAAUGUAAAUGUAUAUUUGUAGACAUCUUCGUGUUUUUAGGUUAUUUUAUUCAUGUAUUUUAUUGCCUUUUUAUUUUAGUUUUAUCUAAUUUGAUUGGAUUUUAUAUGACACACAUAGAAUGGAUUAACUUCCAGGUUUGAAUUUCCUCUUUGUGACAUAAGCGCUUGCUGAGUAGCACUCGUCAUCCUGUCAACAUUGUUUUCCUGUACCCUUCAUAUGAUGGAUAGAACAGUUUUAACCCUGUGCAGCCCUCCUGGUUUGGUGUUGUAUUUAAUCUGUGAAUAAAAAAUAUUACUUUUAAAAUA